rnacentral:lncRNA from 10 species
ACUGAAAAGCUACCAACGAAAUGAAGAUUAUGAGAAAGUUGAAAUUACCUUGAACCUACUCUCAUAUAUUCUUGGUGUUUGGGACUGCUACAAAAUGUAAGGAAGCAUCAUAAAUCUAGAAGAAGGUUCAACUUAACGACAGAAGCCUGAAUGUGCCAGUAGAAAAAUAAGAAAACAACAAGUAAAUCCACAACUGCAAAGAAAGUGUGUGUUGGGGGAUUGGUGAAGGCAUCAGCAGAGGGAGAUAGUUAAACAAAAUGGUCUGAAAGAAAGCAGGUGGAAUAAUGUUGGCAAAGCAAAAUGUAGAAAGUUGGCUGCCCAGAAUUCCUGAGAUGGAAUUGCAACCGAGGCAGCUUUCCUGCCCGGCAGCAC